UCUGUCUCAUUAUGUUUCUACAUCUCCAUGUCUUGUCUACAUCUCUUGGUCUCUCAGAUCGAGAAGGAAUUCUGCAGGAUCACACUGAAGCUAUUGCAGUCCACAUUCCUGGGCAAAUUGGACCAACACACACCCAAGCUGUUGCCUGUACAGGAGGAAGGGUGGAGCCAUUGGGAAGAAACUUGAUGAGACCCUUGACAUGUUAAAUGAGGCAUGUAUUUACAACAGUGUGGUAGUAAUUAGUUGACGACACAAUUGAGUCGCGAAGAGAAGUUGUGAUCAGAGGACUCACACUCUACCUUGGUGAAUACACUGGAGAGUUAAUGAAGGACUACCAGGUUUUUAAUGACGACGAUGCUGCGACCAUCCAAGAAGCUAUUACUACAUUUGCCCUCGGCAUCUUUGUUGUCAGCAAAGCCAGGGAUGGUCUCCCCAAGCAAGCUGGAAUAGCCAUCAAGGGACCUUUUUGGUAUCCCAGAUGUGGCACAUGCUUGCACCUAUCUGAUGGGCCUUAUCUAUGCCUUGGAACUGAGGUACCCUAAUAAACUGAAAUACACGUUUGAGGUCUUUCAGAAGAUCUUCCUAGAGCUAGAGGAUGCAAACCAAAAACUGUCCUCCAAAGUCCAUGAUCUCAAGGUCUGUUUGCAAGCUUAAAAUCUAUACAGAUGGUGUAUACAGUAGAAUGUAU